rnacentral:rRNA from 1 species
GUGGCGAACGGGUGAGUAAUGUAUCGGAGCGUACCUUUCAGUGGGGGAUAACGUAGCGAAAGUUACGCUAAUACCGCAUAUUCUGUGAGCAGGAGAGCAGGGGAUCGCAAGACCUUGCGCUGAUUGAGCGGCCGAUAUCAGAUUAGCUAGUUGGUGAGGUAAAGGCUCACCAAGGCGACGAUCUGUAGCGGGUCUGAGAGGAUGAUCCGCCACACUGGAACUGAGACACGGUCCAGACUCCUACGGGAGGCAGCAGUGGGGAAUUUUGGACAAUGGGGGCAACCCUGAUCCAGCCAUGCCGCGUGAGUGAAGAAGGCCUUCGGGUUGUAAAGCUCUUUCGGCCGGGAAGAAGUCGCAUGGGUUAAUACCCUGUGCGGAUGACGGUACCGGCAUAAGAAGCGCCGGCUAACUACGUGCCAGCAGCCGCGGUAAUACGUAGGGUGCGAGCGUUAAUCGGAAUUACUGGGCGUAAAGCGUGCGCAGGCGGUUUUGUAAGACAGGCGUGAAAUCCCCGGGCUCAACCUGGGAACUGCGCUUGUGACUGCAAGGCUAGAGUAUGGCAGAGGGGGGUGGAAUUCCACGUGUAGCAGUGAAAUGCGUAGAGAUGUGGAGGAACACCAAUGGCGAAGGCAGCCCCCUGGGCCAAUACUGACGCUCAUGCACGAAAGCGUGGGUAGCAAACAGGAUUAGAUACCCUGGUAGUCCACGCCCUAAACGAUGUCAACUAGGUGUUGGGUGGGUAAAACCAUUUAGUACCGGAGCUAACGCGUGAAGUUGACCGCCUGGGGAGUACGGCCGCAAGGUUAAAACUCAAAGGAAUUGACGGGGACCCGCACAAGCGGUGGAUGAUGUGGAUUAAUUCGAUGCAACGCGAAAAACCUUACCUACCCUUGACAUGUCCAGGAGCCUGAAGAGAUUUGGGUGUGCCCGAAAGGGAACUGGAACACAGGUGCUGCAUGGCUGUCGUCAGCUCGUGUCGUGAGAUGUUGGGUUAAGUCCCGCAACGAGCGCAACCCUUGUCGUUAAUUGCCAUCAUUUAGUUGGGCACUUUAACGAGACUGCCGGUGACAAACCGGAGGAAGGGGGGGAUGACGUCAAGUCCUCAUGGCCCUUAUGGGUAGGGCUUCACACGUCAUACAAUGGUCGGUACAAAGGGUUGCCAACCCGCGAGGGGGAGCCAAUCCCAGAAAGCCGAUCGCAGUCCGGAUUGCAGGCCGCAACUCGCCUGCAUGAAGUCGGAAUCGCUAGUAAUCGUGGAUCAGCAUGUCACGGUGAAUACGUUCCCGGGUCUUGUACACACCGCCCGUCACACCAUGGGAGCGGGUUCCGCCAGAAGUAGGUAGCCUAACCGCAAGGGGGGCGCUUACCACGGCGGGGUUCGUGACUGGGGUGAAG